rnacentral:rRNA from 1 species
AGGAUUAACGCUGGCGGCGUGCAUGAGACAUGCAAGUCGAACGGACACUCGGGGCUUGCUCUGAGUGUUAGUGGCGGACGGCUGAGUAACGCGUAGGUGACCUGCCCCGAAGUGGGGAAUAACUGCCCGAAAGGGUGGCUAAUACCGCAUGUGGUGAUGCGUUCAUUCGCAUCAGUAAAGCCGCAAGGCGCUUCGGGAGGGCCUGCGUCCGAUUAGCUCGUUGGUGAGGUAACGGCUCACCAAGGCGACGAUCGGUAGGUGGUCUGAGAGGACGAUCACCCAGACUGGGACUGAGACACGGCCCAGACUCCUACGGGAGCAGCAGUC